UACGUAGGGGGCUAGCGUUGUCCGGAAUCAUUGGGCGUAAAGCGCACGUAGGCGGUUUGUUAAGUCGGAUGUGAAAUCCCUCGGCUCAACUGAGGAAGUGCACCCGAAACUGGGUAGCUAGAGUGCAAAAGAGGGUCGCGGAAUUCCCGGUGUAGAGGUGAAAUUCGUAGAUAUCGGGAGGAACACCGGUGGCGAAGGCGGCGACCUGGGUUGACACUGACGCUGAGGCGCGAAAGCGUGGGGAGCAAACAGG
rnacentral:rRNA from 1 species